CUUGACAGAUGUCUGGGCAGUGUUGGUCGUCACAGAAUAUGUGUAAGAGAUUGACAAAUGCAAACUCUCAGAUCAAUGGGACCAGCACAAUGAAGACCCGUUUCCCAUCUACACAGUGACUGACAAGCAAUACAAACAGAGCAAGGACGAGAAAGACUCCUGGUUUGAGAUCAAUCCACAUGAAGCAGGUUAUUCUCUCACUGGAGCUUUUGUGGGAACCUCCAGCUUCGGCAGCCAGUUUGACAACGGCUCAAAUAAAAACCCUCAGCCUGAAAUGGACAUGCUGUACC